UUCUACUGCUGUAAAAUAUAUUAAGUUAAAAAAGUAGUAUUUAUCUUGCACAAAACAUGAUUGAUCUCUCCAAAAAUUUACCAUUCAUACAGAAAAUUUCUUAACCACUUAAACAUUCAGCAAAAUGAAAGAUAUGACUCAAAAGUGUGUACAAAGGGUGUGCACUGUACAAAACUUCUGAAGGGUUUCAUUGGAGGGUAAUGUGAACUGAACCAAAUCCUGAAUCAAAGCAAGAGAUUUAUUUCUUUUUUCAAUAAAGUAUUUGAAAAUUUGAGCAUAUCAACUUGAAAAAUGUAGAGAUCUUUGCAUUAGCCUAGUGAUACCAGAUAUCUAUCUUGUAGAUUCAGUUUUAGGUUGGAUUCGUACAUAAAUAGUUUUUGCAUUAGCCCAGUGAUACCAGAUAUCUAUCUUGUAGAUUCAGUUUUAGGUUGGAUCCGUACAUAAAUAGUUUGUGCAUUAGCCCAGUGAUAUCAGAUAUCUAUCUUGUAGAUUCAGUUUUAGGUUGGAUUCGUACAUAAAUAGUUUUUGCAUUAGCCCAGUGAUACCAGAUAUCUGUCUCGUAGAUUCAGUUUUAGGUUGGAUUCGUACAUAAAUAGUUUGUGCAUUAGCCCAGUGAUAUCAGAUAUCUAUCUUGUAGAUUCAGUUUUAGGUUGGAUUCGUACAUAAAUAGUUUUUGCCUUAGCCCAGUGAUACCAGAUAAUUAUCUUGUAGAUUCAGUUUUAGGUUGGAUUCGUACAUAAAUAGUUUUUGCCUUAGCCCAGACAUACCAGAUAUCUAACUUGUAGAUUCAGUUUUAGGUUGGAUUCGUACAUAAAUAGUUUUUGCAUUAGCCCAGUGAUACCAGAUAUCUGUCUCGUAGAUUCAGUUUUAGGUUGGAUUCGUACAUAAAUAGUUUGUGCAUUAGCCCAGUGAUAUCAGAUAUCUAUCUUGUAGAUUCAGUUUUAGGUUGGAUUCGUACAUAAAUAGUUUUUGCCUUAGCCCAGUGAUACCAGAUAUCUAACUUGUAGAUUCAGUUUUAGGUUGGAUUCGUACAUAAAUAGUUUUUGCCUUAGCCCAGUGAUACCAGAUAUCUAACUUGUAGAUUCAGUUUUAGGUUGGAUUCGUACAUAAAUAGUUUUUGCAUUAGCCCAGUGAUACCAGAUAUCUGUCUCGUAGAUUCAGUU